UACGUAGGGGGGCGAGCGUUUGUCCGGAUUCAUUGGGCGUAAAGAGCUCGUAGGCGGCUGUUCAAGUCGAACGUGAAAACUCGGGGCUCAACUCCGAGCCUGCGUUCGAUACUGGACGGCUAGAGUCUGGUAGGGGGGCCUGGAAUUCCUGGUGUAGCGGUGGAAUGCGCAGAUAUCAGGAGGAACACCGGUGGCGAAGGCGGGGGUCCUGGGCCAGUACUGACGCUGAGGAGCGAAAAGCGUGGGGAGCAAACAGG
rnacentral:rRNA from 1 species